AUUGAACGCUGGCGGCAUGCUUUACACAUGCAAGUCGAACGGUAACAGGUUAAGCUGACGAGUGGCGAACGGGUGAGUAAUGCAUCGGAACGUGCCCGAUCGUGGGGGAUAACGCAGCGAAAGCUGCGCUAAUACCGCAUACGAUCUGAGGAUGAAAGCGGGGGACCGUAAGGCCUCGCGCGAUCGGAGCGGCCGAUGUCAGAUUAGGUAGUUGGUGGGGUAAAGGCUCACCAAGCCGACGAUCUGUAGCUGGUCUGAGAGGACGACCAGCCACACUGGGACGGGGACACGGCCCAGACUCCUACGGGAGGCAGCAGUGGGGAAUUUUGGACAAUGGGCGAAAGCCUGAUCCAGCAAUGCCGCGUGCAGGAAGAAGGCCUUCGGGUUGUAAACUGCUUUUGUACGGAGCGAAAAGGCUCUCUCUAAUACAGGGGGCUCAUGGCGGUACCGUAAGAAUAAGCACCGGCUAACUACGUGCCAGCCGCCGCAGUAACAC
rnacentral:rRNA from 1 species